rnacentral:rRNA from 1 species
AUUCCCUCAGUAGCUGCGAGCGAACAGGGAUAAGCCCAGCACCGAAUCCCGCGGCCGAUAUCGGACGCCGGGAAAUGUGGUGUUAGGGAGGAUUCAUUAUCCCUGGAUUGUGCGGUGCGUCCAAGUCCUUCUUGAACGGGGCCACAGCCCAUAGAGGGUGCCAGGCCCGUAGUGACCGCUGCCAAUUUUGGGAGAAUCUCUCCUCAGAGUCGGGUUGCUUGAGAGUGCAGCCCUAAGUGGGUGGUAAACUCCAUCUAAGGCUAAAUAUGACCACGAGACCGAUAGCGAACAAGUACCGUGAGGGAAAGUUGAAAAGCACUUUGAAGAGAGAGUUCAAGAGUACGUGAAACCGUUCAGGGGUAAACCUGAGAAACCCGAAAGGUCGAAGGAGGAAAUUCAUUCGCGUUUCGUUAGCAGCAAUGUUGCUGGAUGUAGGAUGUUGCUGUAUGUUAACGCAUGCAUGUACGCAUCCACACCAGCUCAUUGAUCUGUUACCGAGUGCGUGCACUUUUCCUCUAGUAGAACGUUGCGAUCCGUUGGGUGUCGGUCUAAGGCUCAUGGUGGAGCCCAAUCGGGCGGCUUGCCGCUACCGGUCGGACCCAUGAUGUUUCCCGGCCGACUUGCUCGACGGUAUACAGAUGGCGCAGAGCCGCAACAUUUAGUUUGCGUUCGGCCCGUUGCAAGCACAUUAUGUGUGCCAGUGAUCGGACCUAGUGCCGUUCCUGACCCCUAAUGUCUGUUGGCAGCGGUGUUUUCGAACAGACUCUGUUUUUGAAACGCCGAUCAGCAGCGAUAUAGGUUUGGGUACUUUCAGGACCCGUCUUGAAACACGGACCAAGGAGUCUAGCAUGUGCGCAAGUCAUUGGGACGCAAUUAUACCUAACGGCGCAAUGAAAGUGAAGGUUUGCCUUGUGUAAACCUAGGGAGGAUGAGUGGUUUGCCCAUAAAGUGGCUGCUCCGCACUCCCGGGGCGUCUCAUUCUCAUUGCGAGAGGAGGCGCACCAAGAGCGUACACGCUGGGACCCGAAAGAUGGUGAACUAUGCCUGGUCAGGACGAAGUCAGGGGAAACCCUGAUGGAGGUCCGUAGCGAUUCUGACGUGCAAAUCGAUCGUCGGAACUGGGUAUAGGGGCGAAAGACUAAUCGAACCAUCUAGUAGCUGGUUCCCUCCGAAGUUUCCCUCAGGAUAGCUGGCGCUCGUUGCGCACGAGUCUCAUCCGGUAAAGCGAAUGAUUAGAGGCAUUGGGGUCGAAACGACCUCAACCUAUUCUCAAACUUUAAAUGGGUGAGAUCUCCGGCUUGCUCGAAUUGAUGAAGCCGUGAGACACGGAUCAGAGUGCCAAGUGGGCCAUUUUUGGUAAGCAGAACUGGCGCUGUGGGAUGAACCAAACGCCGAGUUAAAGCGCCUAAAUCGACGCUUAUGGGAUACCAUGAAAGGCGUUGGUAACUUAAGACAGCAGGACGGUGGCCAUGGAAGUCGGAAUCCGCCAAGGAGUGUGUAACAACUCACCUGCCGAAGUUACUAGCCCUGAAAAUGGAUGGCGCUGAAGCGUCGUGCUUAUACUCGGCCGUCAGUGGCAUGUGCGGUCACAGCAGCAAUGUUGGGCCAUGAAGCCCUGACGAGUAGGAGGGUCGCGGCGGUGAGCGCAGAAGGGCUGGCCGUGAGGCCGUCUGGAGCCGCCGUCGGUGCAGAUCUUGGUGGUAGUAGCAAAUACUCCAGCGAGGCCCUGGAGGACUGACGUGGAGAAGGGUUUCGUGUGAACAGCCGUUGCACACGAGUCAGUCGAUCCUAAGCCCUAGGCGAAAGCCGAUGUUGAUGUGGUGUAAGUUUAAUAAUGUGUAACAUAAAUAUUAUGAUUGCGCACACACCCAUUGGGCGAAAGGGAAUCCGGUUUCUAUUCCGGAACCCGGCAGCGGAACCGCAAUUAUGUCGGGCCCUCGUUUUGCGAGAGUUCGUCGGGGCAACCCAAAAGGACCCGGAGACGCCGUCGGGAGAUCCGGGAAGAGUUUUCUUUUCUGCAUGAGCGUUCGAGUUCCAUGGAAUCCUCUAGCAGGGAGAUAUGGUUUGGAACGCGAAGAGCACCGCAUUUGCAGCGGUGUCCGGAUCUUCCCCUCGGACCUUGAAAAUCCGGGAGAGGGCCACGUGGAGGCAUCGCGCCGGUUCGUACCCAUAU